UGCCAGAUUGCACCGCGCCAGCCGGCACUAUUCUGGCCUACAGUUCGGCGGCGCUGAAGAGAUUGCGCCGAGGCUACGCAUUCGCCAAACGCAAAAGCGCUCAGUCACGGCGCACUUGUGCGCAUACGCGGCUGCAAGAGCUGGUCGCAGUGGUGCUGUGGGUCAUGUUCCCGCGCCGAACUAUGCAAUAGAGAAAUUUUCGACGAUCCUGGCGUCGCCGCGACGUAAUGUAUCCAACUUCGCCGGGUGCUACGCGGCACGCUGGAAACGCCGGACUAGAUCAGUGCCUUUAAAGCCGGUGCAGCGAGCAUAUGUGUGUGUCCACGCAAACUCCGAUGGACGCUCUCAAGCCGUGACAAUCGAACGGUGGCCUAGGGUGUGUAGUCCGCUCGUGCACUCCAACCAAACUUUUCAAAACUACAUUCCGUACACAGGAGCAUUUAUUAUGGAGCUGCAAUUCAGUGAAGAAAGAAGUCUACGUUCACGCCGAAGCUCUAAGAAGCCGUGCGAUGCUGGAGCAGCGUGGGGCAGCAUCAACAGCUGUAUCCGGGUGGCAUUCAGGACGUGUUCCACGGAAUCCCUAGUCCUCGUGGCAGCAGCAGAGUGAUUCGCAUGAACCGCGUCCCACUUUUGGCAGGCUUCGCCGAACGGCAAACCGUCCCGCAUCACCAGUGUGGUGGCAUUUUCCACAACCAAGGAUGAUGUGCCCUCCCAGCGUUCUCCAAUUGCAGCCAUCUUGCUCCAGCUGACCCCAACUUGUGCCUGCAGAUUUCCUAAUUUCAUUACACCACCGUAUUGUCUGCCUUCAUUGACUACGCUUGCUUUCCCUUGGUACGCACUGUGCAUCUCUAACCGACCGCCGGUUAUCUUCCCUACGCCCUAUAUGACCGGCCAAGCUCGAUCUCUUUCUCUCAUUGCCCACUAGGAUAUCAGCUACCCCAUUCCGGUUUGCUCUCUGAUCCCAACCUCUGUCUUCCUGGCUUUCAACGUUACGCCUCUGAUGUUUCGUUCAAUCGCCCGUUGUAUGGUCUUUAACUUCUGAGUUCCUUUGAAAAACUCAAAGUUUCUGACCAGUAUGUUAGUGCCGGUAAAACGCCAUGGCUGUACACUUUUCAGAUAUAGCUGUAAGCUGUCGUUCAUUACGCUAGUAAUGUUUGCUGUUUAGGCCACAACUCAUGUUAUAGUAUAGCUAAAGGACGGAUGUGGAAUACAAGACAAUGCAAGCAGUUCUGUCUAUAGGUCUAAUUUGUCUGCCUGCGCUUCGAUGUCAUCAGCAUCUUCCAUGUUCCGUUUUCUUAGAUUUUGUGAGGGAGCCUGUGAUUACUGCGUGAUUAAUAUUGCAGUGACCCUAUACGUACUAUUAAAAUAGCGCUUAUUAACCAGUA